ACGGUGGCCCUGAGGUGCAAAACGGCAAAUCAGAAAACACAAAAAGAGAAAACACAAUGGUUAAAAAAAGAAUAAACAAUGGUUAAUAAUGUUGUGUUUUCUGAUUUGCUGUUGUGUUUUCUCUUUUUGUGUUGUGUUUUCUGAUGUGCUGUUGUGUUUUGCACCUCAGGGCCACCGUA